rnacentral:rRNA from 1 species
AACGAACGCUGGCGGCAGGCUUAACACAUGCAAGUCGAACGUGAAGCUGGAGCUUGCUCCAGUGGAAAGUGGCAGACGGGUGAGUAACGCGUGGGAAUUUACCCAGUGGUUCGGAAUAACUUCAGGAAACCGGAGCUAAUACCGAAUACGCCCUUCGGGGGAAAGAUUUAUCGCCAUUGGAUAAGCCCGCGUCGGAUUAGCUUGUUGGUGAGGUAAAAGCUCACCAAGGCGACGAUCCGUAGCUGGUCUGAGAGGAUGAUCAGCCACAUUGGGACUGAGACACGGCCCGGACUCCUACGGGAGGCAGCAGUGGGGAAUCUUGGACAAUGGGGGCAACCCUGAUCCAGCCAUGCCGCGUGUGUGAAGAAGGCCUUCGGGUUGUAAAGCACUUUCAGUAGGGAGGAAGGCUUACCGCUAAUAACGGUGAGUACUUGACGUUACCUACAGAAGAAGCACCGCUAAUUU